rnacentral:rRNA from 1 species
UACGGAGGAUCCAAGCGUUAUCCGGAUUAUUGGGUUUAAAGGGUGCGUAGGCGGCUUUUUAAGUCAGGGGUGAAAGACGGUAGCUCAACUAUCGCAGUGCCCUUGAUACUGAAGAGCUUGAAUGGACUAGAGGUAGGCGGAAUGUGACAAGUAGCGGUGAAAUGCAUAGAUAUGUCACAGAACACCGAUUGCGAAGGCAGCUUACUAUGGUUUUAUUGACGCUGAGGCACGAAAGCGUGGGGAUCAAACAGG